GGGGAUGUACUGGUUUCGACAGGGUUUUGAAGUAUUCGGUAGCGAGUCGUGGAAUUCAUCUCUUAAUCACACGUUAAACUUAGAGAUAUUAAAUAUAAACGCAGAAGAUAAUUUUGCAAUAGCUGCCUAAUAGUUGCAGCUCGUCUUACUGAGAAUUCCUGCGACUUGGAUAAGGCGUCGUAAGCAGGCAACCUUUCUUAUAGCUAACUGGAAUAAGAAUUGUACAAUUCAGUUGUAGCGAUGAAAUAGUUGUGAUAUCAAGGCAGUUUCAAAGCGAAAAUAAAUAUUGAUAUCUACGCUCGUAGAAGCUGGAUAUGGAUGGAUUUUGGACAUGGGUUCAAUUCCCAUCAUCUCCACCA
rnacentral:tmRNA from 3 species